rnacentral:rRNA from 1 species
AUCGAACGCUGGCGGAAUGCUUUACACAUGCAAGUCGAACGAAGGCUUCGGCCUUAGUGGCGCACGGGUGCGUAACGCGUGGGAAUCUGCCCCUCGGUUCGGAAUAACAGUUAGAAAUGACUGCUAAUACCGGAUGAUGACUUCGGUCCAAAGAUUUAUCGCCGAGGGAUGAGCCCGCGUAAGAUUAGGUAGUUGGUGGGGUAAAGGCCUACCAAGCCGACGAUCUUUAGCUGGUCUGAGAGGAUGAUCAGCCACACUGGGACUGAGACACGGCCCAGACUCCUACGGGAGGCAGCAGUGGGGAAUAUUGGACAAUGGGCGAAAGCCUGAUCCAGCAAUGCCGCGUGAGUGAUGAAGGCCUUAGGGUUGUAAAGCUCUUUUACCAGGGAUGAUAAUGACAGUACCUGGAGAAUAAGCUCCGGCUAACUCUGUGCCAGCAGCCGCCGUAA